rnacentral:rRNA from 1 species
GAUGAACGCUAGCUACAGGCUUAACACAUGCAAGUCGAGGGGCAUCAUGACGAAAGCUUGCUUUUGUUGAUGGCGACCGGCGCACGGGUGAGUAACGCGUAUCCAACCUGCCCAUGGGUCAGGAAUAACCUUCCGAAAGGGAGCCUAAUACCUGAUGCAGUGAGAAGAAGGCCUCUGAUUUUCACGAAAGACUUCGGUCGCCGAUGGAUGGGGAUGCGUACGAUUAGGCAGCAGGCGGGGUAACGGCCCACCUGGCCAACGAUCGUUAGGGGUUCUGAGAGGAAGGUCCCCCACACUGGUACUGAGACACGGACCAGACUCC